CAGUCGCCGCGGUAAUACGAAGGGUGCAAGCGUUAAUCGGAAUUACUGGGCGUAAAGCGUGCGUAGGCGGUGAGUUAAGUCUGCUGUGAAAUCCCCGGGCUCAACCUGGGAAUGGCAGUGGAUACUGGCUCGCUAGAGUGUGUCAGAGGAUGGUGGAAUUCCCGGUGUAGCGGUGAAAUGCGUAGAGAUCGGGAGGAACAUCAGUGGCGAAGGCGGCCAUCUGGGACAACACUGACGCUGAGGCACGAAAGCGUGGGGAGCAAACAGGAUUAGAUAUCCGGGUAGUCCCUGUCUCUUAUAA
rnacentral:rRNA from 1 species